rnacentral:rRNA from 1 species
GACGAACGCUGGCGGCGUGCUUAACACAUGCAAGUCGAACAGAAAGGCCUAGCUUGCUGGGUACUCGAGUGGCGAACGGGUGAGUAACACGUGGGUGAUCUGCCCCUGACUUUGGGAUAAGCCUGGGAAACUGGGUCUAAUACCGGAUAUUCAUUUUUCCUCGCAUGGGGAUUUGUGGAAAGCUUUUGCGGUUGGGGAUGGGCCCGCGGCCUAUCAGCUUGUUGGUGGGGUAAUGGCCUACCAAGGCGACGACGGGUAGCCGACCUGAGAGGGUGAUCGGCCACACUGGGACUGAGACACGGCCCAGACUCCUACGGGAGGCAGCAGUGGGGAAUAUUGCACAAUGGGCGCAAGCCUGAUGCAGCGACGCCGCGUGAGGGAUGACGGCCUUCGGGUUGUAAACCUCUUUCAGCUCCGACGAAGCGCAAGUGACGGUAGGAGCAGAAGAAGCACCGGCCAACUACGUG